GGGUGAGUAACACGUAGGUGAACUACCCUUUAGACGGGGAUAACAGGGAGAAAUUCCUGCUAAUACCGGGUAAGGUCUCCGAGAAUGAAAACAGGAGAGGAAAGAUGGCCUCUAUUUAUAAGCUAUCGCUGAAGGAAGUGCCUGCGCAACAUUAGCUAGUUGGUGAGGUAAUGGCCCACCAAGGCAACGAUGUUUAUCCGGUCUGAGAGGACGAUCGGACACACUGGAACUGAGAAACGGUCCAGACUCC
rnacentral:rRNA from 1 species